UACAGAGGUGGCAAGCGUUGUUCGGAAUUACUGGGCGUAAAGGACGCGUAGGCGGUCUUGCAAGUCCCGUGUGAAAUCCCUCGGCUCAACUGAGGAACUGCACGGGAAACUGCUUGGCUUGAGUUCGGGAGAGGGAAGCGGAAUUCCCGGUGUAGCGGUGAAAUGCGUAGAUAUCGGGAGGAACAUCAGUGGCGAAGGCAGCUCGCUGGGACGGUACUGACGCUAAGGCGCGAAAGCGUGGGGAGCGAACAGG
rnacentral:rRNA from 1 species